GAUGAACGCUGGCGGCGUGCCUAAUACAUGCAAGUCGAGCGAACAGAUGAUGAUCUUGCUCCUCGGACGUUAGCGGCGGACGUGUGAGUAACACGUGUAUAACCCACCUAUAAGACUGGUAUAACUUCGGGAAACCGGAGCUAAUACCGUAUAAGAUAUUGAACCGCAGUGGUCAAUAGUGAAAGACGGUUUUGGGGUCACUUAUAGCGGGAUCUGCGCCGCAUUAGGUAGUUGGUAAGGUAACGGCUUACGAAGGCAAGGAUGCGUAGACGAACUGAGGGGGUGGUCGGCCACCCGGGAACUGAGACACGGUCAAGACUCCUACGGGAGGCAGCAGUAGGGAAUCUUCCGCAAUGGGCGAAAGCAUGACGGAGCAGCGCCGCGUGAGUGAUGACGGUCUUCGGAUCGUAAAACUCUGUUAUUAGGGAAGAACAGAUGUGUAAGUAAAUAUGCACGUCUUGACGGUAACUAAUAAGAAAGCCACGGCUAACUACGUG
rnacentral:rRNA from 1 species